rnacentral:lncRNA from 1 species
ACCUUCAACAAAAUUGAUUUCCUCGUCAAUUCCUCUGACUUCCCUCAUUUCCAUAUACUCUCAUUCAUCAACAUCUUUUUUCCUUGUAAAUCUAAUUCACCCUGAUUUUGAUCUAUCACCAUACAUUUGAAACUAUUAUAACCAUUUGUGACAAUACUUGUAUUCACACUGAUAUCAUAUAAAUUUACUCAUUAGCAAUAUAACAGUAUAUCCUCCAUCAAUUAAUCCAACACCAUGACCAUUUUGACUCUCCUUCCAUCGGUUUAUCAUAAAAGGAAACUCCACCCUUAUAUCCUCCAGUUUUAUUCUUUGCUCCAUAUUCCUUU